AAUGUGUUGACGCUAGGCAGAAGGCUAAGAAAUCUGGAAUCCUUUGUAAACUAGACAUUGAAAAGGCAUUUGAUCAUGUUAACUGGAAGUAUUUGAUCAAUAUUAUGAGGGUCAUGGGUUUUAGGGACAAAUGGCUUAAAUGGUUUUAUUAUUGCAUUAGUACAGUGAAGUUUUCGGUUCUUAUUAAUGGAAUGGAUCCCCUGAAGGAUUUUUUCAAUCCGAAAGGGGAUUAAGGCAAGGAGACCCUCUCUCUCCUUUUCUUUUCAUCAUAGCCAUGGAGGGGCUUAGCAGUAUGUUGAGAAUCUCUACAACCAAUGGUGAUUUGAGGGGGUUCACUGUUCAAAAUAGGGAAAACAUCUUAGAGAUCUCACAUCUUCUUUAUGCAGAUGAUGCUUUGAUACUUUGUGAUGCAGAGCCUUCCCAAAUAAUGCAUUUGAGGCUGAUUCUUACUGUUUUUGAAGGUAUCUCCGGCCUUCAUGUCGAUUGGAGAAAGAGCCACCAAAUUGUUUAAUUCUUGCCGGUAUUCUAGGUUGUGAGGUGGGUGCUCUACCUACUAAAUAUUUGGGUCUUUCUUUGGGCUCAAAAAACAAAGCUGUUGAUAUAUGGGAAGGGGUACUUGAUAGAUGUGAAAGGAGGCUUGCAAGAUGGAAAGCAUAGUACCUGUCAUUAGGGGGAAGGGUCAUUCUUGUCAACAGUGUUCUGGACUCCUUUCCCACCUAUGUAAUGUCUCUAUUUCCAAUUCCAGACAAAGUGAGACAAAGCAUAGAUUAGCUGUGGAGAAAUUUUAUUUGGGAGGGGAACGGGAAUAGCAAACGCUCGCAUCUGGUCAAGUGGAAGAUCCUCAUUUCUAGUAAGAAGGUGGGAGGACUAGGAAUAAAAAAUCUCAGAAUACAGAAUAUGAGUCUAUUAUUUAAGUAGCUUUGGAGAUAUAACACUGAAGAGCAAGCAUUAUGGAGACAGGUUAUACAUUGCAGGCAUAUGAACAAACAGGCCACUGGACUACCAAACCAGUGACAUCUGCCUAUGGAGUGGGGAACUGGAAAUCCAUCAGGAAUCUAUGGGAGGUGUUUAUAGAAAAGACAGGGGUCAGGUUGGGCAACGGGAAGAAAAUCUCUUUCUGGAGAGACGACUGGUUAGGGAAUGGGCCUUUGAUUGAUCAAUUUCAUGAUCUGUUCAUUUUAUCCUCCUUUCCUGAUGCUACAGUUGAAGAACUUUGGACUCCACAAGGGUGGAAUAUUGUAUUCAGAAGGCUCCUUAAUGAUUGGGAGAUCCCAAGAGUUACUGAUCUCUUUGGUAAACUCUCGAAGGUUUCUCAGGCCUAAAGGAGAAGGAGGAUUCUCAUACUUGGAUAGGCGGCACCAUGGCUGUUCUCUCUGUCAAAACAGCUUACAACUACUUAAUGGAUUUGGAGCAGUUCAAUGACCCAUGGCCAUGGAAAAAGAUAUGGAAAGCAAGAGCUCCUUUCAAAGUGGUUUUGCUUACUUGGCUAGUUGUUUGGAAAGCCUGUCUCACUCAUGAUAAACUUCAAAGAACGGGUUUUCAUCUAUGUUCUAGGUGUUUUCUAUGCCAUCAGGAAGCCGAAGCCAAUGGGCAUCUUUUCUUGCAUUGUUCAAUUACCAGACAACUAUGACAACUUUUUGCAGCAUUAGCUCAAAUUGUUUGGGUGAUACCCCGGAGUACGUUUGACCGGAUAUGUAGUUGGAACAAUAGACAAGGAGAAACUUGUCACAGAGAGUGGUGGAAGAUUGUUCCAGCAUAUGGUGGACAAUUUGGAAAGAGAGGAAUGCAAGAUGUUUUGAAGGCAGGUGCAGUUCAAUCUAGAAGAUCAAGAGCUCCUGCAUUUCUCUUCUCUAUUUUUGGUGUAAAGAAAAGUUAGUUGAUGAUGUUGAAUCAUUACUAGACUUUAUGGCCUCUUUUGGACACCACCCAAUUUAAGUGUACCUAUAUUAAAUUUGGUGGACAAGACUUUUCAGCUGAACAGAAGAGGCUGGCUAAGAAUACAGGUAAGGAAAUUAUGCAGUUAAUGAUGGAGGAAGCUAUUGAUGAUUGGCUGUUAAGGCAAAUGCAUUGGCUACGGAGAGAGGAUGUGAUUGCUCAGGGAAUUAAAUGAAUUCAAGAUAUACACAAGGAAAUCAUUCACCAUUCAGCUAUGGGAGAAUCUGUAAAGCGUGGAUGGUAUGAUUAUCGUAAAAGAGGACAACCGAGUUGGAGGUUUAAAUUGGCUGUGGAGGAGGAAGAAAAAAAUGAACAUAAAAAAUGACAUCUUUGUAUAUCUGAACAUGAUCUCGUAGUCAUAUAAAUGUCAUGAAAAGUUUAAGACUGCAAGUUCUGAAGGGUUUUAAAAAGGUUUGGUUGUUUGGUUCGCUGACAAAACGAGCCUAAGGGCAAUUUUGGGGACUGAAGAGUUUAUUUACAUUCGAAUGUCAAACCAUUAUCUGAUCUACUUCUGUAACAAAGGCUAUGUUUGGUUGGAAAACUUGGAAUGACCAUGACUUCACUUGCAAAACACUGAAUUGUUUAUGUUUUUCUCUGUUCAUCCUAUAUAUGUGAAUUAAAUCUAGUUUUAAAGAUUUGGUGUUAAAGACAAGGCAAAUUGCUAUUGCGAUGUGGAAAAAGCCUUACCGAAGAUAGCUAAAAGAGUAGUCUUUGUCAAGAGGUUUCAUCCUACAGUCACUAGUGAACUGGUAAUAUUCUGCUUCCGUUCAUCAUUUACAAGCUUAUAAGUGAAUCCCAGCUCAUUUUCGUGCUGUUUUUUCCUUUUCUAUUGACUCUCUUAAUUUGUAGAGAAUCCCAGCCGAUUUCUUUGGCAUAUAUCAGAAGAAUUACCUGAUAAAGCCACUCUAAAGUGUCUUUCUGGAGGCACUUGGAAUGUGAAACUACAAUGUGAUGGAAGAGGGCUUUCUUAUACACAAUGGUUGGAAGAAAUUUCAGAAAAAUAACCAACUACAAAAUGGGGAAUAUCUCGUGUUUAGGCACGCUGGCGCUCUGCAAUUCACAAUAAGAAUUUUCAGCAAGAAUGGACUUGGAAAGACAAGUGAAGUCAUCAACAAACAUGGUCAAAAAUCAACAAGCUCCAAUAUAUGGAGGCAGCAAGCGUAAAAGGCCAGAAAAAUACCCUUACACUUCAAAAUUCCCAAAACAGACUCAUGCUAACGGUGAAAAUGACACAGAAGACCUAUUUUAACAUGUGAUGGACUAAUGGACUACUAUGUUGUGUUCCCUUAGAAAAUGCAACUCCAAUGAAAAGAGCUGCACUUGAGAAAGAAGACGACCUUCUCA